CUGAGAAAUCAAAAUCUGGUUUCUCUCAUUCCCAGUAAUGUACAUAAAUUGCAUGGAUAAAAGGCAUCUUAAGUCAAAGUGAUACUACUCAUUUGAACUGUUAAUCUGAUGAGAAACUGGGACCAAAAAACAUUGGUUUCAGAUGAGACAGCUUUGAAUGAUGAUUGAGAACCCAUUGGUCAGUAAAACCCAACAUUUUGACUCCUUUUUCUGCAACACUUUGUUCUUUAUCCUCAACASUAGGAAGUCAGGUGCCUGGAAACAUGGCUGGGAAACCCAAGCUCUACUACUUCGAUGGCCGAGGCCGGAUGGAAACAAUUCGGUGGCUGCUAGCAGCAGUUGGAGUCGAGUUUGAAGAAGUUUAUCUGGAAACAAGGGCUGACCUACAAAAGCUACAGAACAGUAAGUUUGCCUGAUUUUUUAGUGAUAGAACUAUUUGUCUUAGAAAUYUGARAAGUCUCAUGUCUCUUCAAAGAAAUCGAGAUUGGAUCUUAGAAGAAUGAGUUGAUCCUCCUGCCGCCUGCUAGCUUUGAAAAAGCACAGCAGGAUUUAUGGUCAUGAGCAUAAUAAUAAAAUWAUGCCC